GACAGAGGGUGCAAACGUUGCUCGGAAUUACUGGGCGUAAAGCGCGUGUAGGUGGAUUGGUGUGUCAGAUGUGAAAUCCCUGGGCUCAACCCAGGAACUGCACCUGAAACUACCAGUCUUGAGUGGUGGAGAGGGAAGUGGAAUUCCUGGUGUAGAGGUGAAAUUCGUAGAUAUCAGGAGGAACGCCAGUGGCGAAGGCGGCUUCCUGGACACCAACUGACGCUGAGACGCGAAAGCGUGGGGAGCAAACAGG
rnacentral:rRNA from 1 species